AGUGAUUGAGUCACCAUCCCUGGAGAUAUUCAAAAAGCGAGUGGACAGGGUACUUCAGGACAUGGUUUAGUGGGCAUGGGUGAUGAUUGGACUCGAUGAUUUUGAAGGUCUUUUCCAACCUAAAUGAUUCUAUGAUUCUCUGAUUAAUAGUGA